rnacentral:rRNA from 1 species
GACGAACGCUGGCGGCGUGCUUAACACAUGCAAGUCGAACGGAAAGGCCCUGCUUUUGUGGGGUGCUCGAGUGGCGAACGGGUGAGUAACACGUGAGUAACCUGCCCUUGACUUUGGGAUAACUUCAGGAAACUGGGGCUAAUACCGGAUAGGAGCUCCUGCUGCAUGGUGGGGGUUGGAAAGUUUCGGCGGUUGGGGAUGGACUCGCGGCUUAUCAGCUUGUUGGUGGGGUAGUGGCUUACCAAGGCUUUGACGGGUAGCCGGCCUGAGAGGGUGACCGGCCACAUUGGGACUGAGAUACGGCCCAGACUGCUACGGGAGGCAGCGGUGGGGAAUAGUGCACAAUGGGCGGAAGCCUGAUGCAGCAACGCCGCGUGCGGGAUGACGGCCUUCGGGUUGUAACCCGCUUUCGCCUGUGACGAAGCGUGAGUGACGGUAAUGGGUAAAGAAGCACCGGCUAACUACGUG